rnacentral:rRNA from 1 species
ACCAGACUCCUACGGGAGGCAGCAGUGGGGGAUAUUGCACAAUGGGGGAAACCCUGAUGCAGCAACGCCGCGUGAGUGAAGAAGUAUUUCGGUAUGUAAAGCUCUAUCAGCAGGGAAGAGAAUGACGGUACCUGACUAAGAAGCCCCGGCUAACUACGUGCCAGCAGCCGCGGUAAUACGUAGGGGGCGAGCGUUAUCCGGAUUUACUGGGUGUAAAGGGAGCGUAGACGGCUGGUCAAGUCUGAAGUGAAAGCCCGGGGCUUAACCCCGGAACGGCUUUGGAAACUGAGCAGCUAGAGUGCUGGAGAGGUAAGCGGAAUUCCUAGUGUAGCGGUGAAAUGCGUAGAUAUUAGGAGGAACACCAGUGGCGAAGGCGGCUUACUGGACAGUAACUGACGUUGAGGCUCGAAAGCGUGGGGAGCAAACAGGAUUAGAUACCCGUGUAAG